GAACCCCUCCCCAUCUUCCCUGAUCAUCAAGAGCUUCAGUGUCUGGGGAGCUUCGAGGCUGAGUGGAAGUAAGGAUAGUGGGGGCCCAUCAGGGGCCCAGCAGACAGCAUAUGGGGCACUCCAGAGGCCAGGGCAGAGUGACCCUAGCUACCAGAAUGAGAAGAAUCACAUGUUUUCCAGAGUGCCACUGGACAUGAAAAAAAGGUAUCUUUGCCAGAGCUAAAGUACAACAUCCUGGACAUCUCCUUCUCUGAAGAAUUAGCAGGAGACAAAUCAGAAAUAUCUGAGAGGUUUCAUUUUGUAUGAGCUCCUAGAAAUAUCAGACUUUAAUCUCAACCCUUGUAAAACUUAUUAUGUAGGAAAUAGAACUUCAUGUUCUAGGGGUAGGGGGCUGUGUUUCUACUGCAUCUGAUAAGACAUAAACACCCUGAGGACGGAUCAUACAGAAGGAUCAUGAAGUUUUCAUGAACACCAUAAAAUACAGAUCUUAGCCUCUAGCUGAACAAGAACAGAAGCCUCCCAUGGUAUAUUCACAACCCUGAAAAACAAGAAGCAUCAACCUGGAUUUGACAGGGAAGUCUUAAAUUGCAAGU